rnacentral:lncRNA from 1 species
GAUCAUCACUGGUUGGGGACCAGCGUGGCUGCUUAAAUUGUCCAUCCUAGUGUUUGUCAAGAAGGGGCUUGGCUCCAGGGAAGAUCAAACCCUCCAACGUGACAGUUAAUGAAACAAGGAAAAAGAAGAGGGAAACUAUCAGUCCCAGCCAGCCAACACUAACAGAGUCCUAAGGCAGCUGGAGAUGCCAAGUUGGCUGGUGCGGUGUUGUGAAACCAUUGCCUGAAGCCUACUCAAAG